rnacentral:rRNA from 1 species
AUUGAACGCUGGCGGCAUGCCUUACACAUGCAAGUCGAACGGCAGCACGGGAGCAAUCCUGGUGGCGAGUGGCGAACGGGUGAGUAAAGUAUCGGAACGUGCCCAGUCGUGGGGGAUAACGUAGCGAAAGUUACGCUAAUACCGCAUACGAUCUAUGGAUGAAAGCGGGGGAUCGCAAGACCACGCGCGAUUGGAGCGGCCGAUAUCAGAUUAGGUAGUUGGUGGGGUAAAGGCUCACCAAGCCGACGAUCUGUAGCUGGUCUGAGAGGACGACCAGCCACACUGGGACUGGGAGACGGCCCAGACUCCCACGGGAGGCAGCAGUGGGGAAUUUUGGACAAUGGGCGAAAGCCUGCUCCAGCCAUGCCGCGUGCAGGAUGAAGGCCUUCGGGUUGUAAACUGCUUUUGUACGGAACGAAAAGGUUUGGCCUAAUAAGCUGAGCUCAUGACGGUACCGUAAGAAUAAGCACCGGCUAACUACGUGCCAGCAGCCGCCGCCG